rnacentral:rRNA from 1 species
CCUACGGGGGGCAGCAGUGAGGAAUAUUGGUCAAUGGGCGCGAGCCUGAACCAGCCAAGUAGCGUGAAGGAUGACUGCCCUACGGGUUGUAAACUUCUUUUAUAAAGGAAUAAAGUGAGGCACGUGUGCCUCUUUGUAUGUACUUUACGUAUAAGGAUCGGAUAACCCCGGGCCAGCAGCCGCGGUAAUACGGAGGAUCCGAGGGUUAUUCGGAUUUAUUGGGUUUAAAGGGAGCGUAGAUGGGUUGUUAAGUCAGUUGUGAAAGUUAGUGGCUCAACCGUAAAAUUGCAAUUGAUACUGGCAGUCUGGAGUACAGUUGAGGUAGGCGGAAUUCGUGGUGUAGCGGUGAAAUGCUUAGAUAUCACGAAGAACUCCGAUUGCGAAGGCAGCUUACUAGACUGCCACUGACAUUGAUGCGCGAAAGUGUGGGUAUCAAACAGGAUUAGAUACCCCAGUAGUC